rnacentral:rRNA from 1 species
UUACCAAGGCAACGAUGCAUAGCCGACCUGAGAGGGUGAUCGGCCACACUGGAACUGAGACACGGUCCAGACUCCUACGGGAGGCAGCAGUAGGGAAUCUUCCGCAAUGGGCGAAAGCCUGACGGAGCAACGCCGCGUGAGUGAUGAAGGUCUUCGGAUCGUAAAACUCUGUUAUUAGGGAAGAACAUAUGUGUAAGUAACUGUGCACAUCUUGACGGUACCUAAUCAGAAAGCCACGGCUAACUACGUGCCAGCAGCCGCGGUAAUACGUAGGUGGCAAGCGUUAUCCGGAAUUAUUGGGCGUAAAGCGCGCGUAGGCGGUUUUUUAAGUCUGAUGUGAAAGCCCACGGCUCAACCGUGGAGGGUCAUUGGAAACUGGAAAACUUGAGUGCAGAAGAGGAAAGUGGAAUUCCAUGUGUAGCGGUGAAAUGCGCAGAGAUAUGGAGGAACACCAGUGGCGAAGGCGACUUUCUGGUCUGUAACUGACGCUGAUGUGCGAAAGCGUGGGGAUCAAACAGGAUUAGAUACCCUGGUAGUCCACGCCGUAAACGAUGAGUGCUAAGUGUUAGGGGGUUUCCGCCCCUUAGUGCUGCAGCUAACGCAUUAAGCACUCCGCCUGGGGAGUACGACCGCAAGGUUGAAACUCAAAGGAAUUGACGGU